GAUGAACGCUAGCUACAGGCUUAACACAUGCACGUCGAGGGGCAGCAUUAAAGUUUGCUUGCAAACUUUAGAUGGCGACCGGCGCACGGGUGAGUAACACGUAUCCAACCUGCCGAUAACUAGGGGAUAGCCCUUCGAAAGAAAGAUUAAUACCCGAUGGUAUAUUUUCACCGCAUGGUGAAACUAUUAAAGAAUUUCGGUUAUCGAUGGGGAUGCGUUCCAUUAGGCAGUUGGUGAGGUAACGGCUCACCAAACCUUCGAUGGAUAGGGGUUCUGAGAGGAAGGUCCCCCACAUUGGAACUGAGACACGGUCCAAACUCCUACGGGAGGCAGCAGUGAGGAAUAUUGGUCAAUGGGCGCGAGCCUGAACCAGCCAAGUAGCGUGAAGGAUGACGGCCCUAUGGGUUGUAAACUUCUUUUAUAUGGGAAUAAAGUUUGGUAUGUAUACCAUUUUGUAUGUACCAUAUGAAUAAGGAUCGGCUAACUCCGUGCCAGCCGCCGCCGUAACAC
rnacentral:rRNA from 1 species